rnacentral:rRNA from 1 species
UCGGGAAUUUUGGGCAAUGGGGGAAACCCUGACCCAGCAACGCCGCGUGAAGGAUGAAGUAUUUCGGUAUGUAAACUUCGAAAGAAUAGGAAGAAUAAAUGACGGUACUAUUUAUAAGGUCCGGCUAACUACGUGCCAGCAGCCGCGGUAAUACGUAGGGACCAAGCGUUGUUCGGAUUUACUGGGCGUAAAGGGCGCGUAGGCGGCAUGACAAGUCACUUGUGAAAUCUCUGGGCUUAACCCAGAACGGCCAAGUGAUACUGUCGCGCUAGAGUGCAGAAGGGGCAAUCGGAAUUCUUGGUGUAGCGGUGAAAUGCGUAGAUAUCAGGAGGAACACCGGUGGUGUAGACGGCUCUCUGGACCGCAACUGACGCUGAGACACGAAAGCGUGGGUAGCAAACAGGAUUAGAUACCCCAGUAGUCCCUGAG